rnacentral:rRNA from 1 species
CAGUAGCCGCGGUAAAACGGAGGGUGCAAGCGUUAAUCGGAAUUACUGGGCGUAAAGCGCACGCAGGCGGUCUGUCAAGUCAGAUGUGAAAUCCCCGGGCUUAACCUGGGAACUGCAUUUGAAACUGGCAGGCUAGAGUCUUGUAGAGGGGGGUAGAAUUCCAGGUGUAGCGGUGAAAUGCGUAGAGAUCUGGAGGAAUACCGGUGGCGAAGGCGGCCCCCUGGACAAAGACUGACGCUCAGGUGCGAAAGCGUGGGGAGCAAACAGGAUUAGAUACCCCUGUAGUCCCUGUCUCUUAUAA